rnacentral:rRNA from 1 species
UAACACGUAGGUAACCUGCCCAUGUGCCCGGGAUAACUUCUGGAAACGGAUGCUAAAACCGGAUAGGUAGCAGACAAGCAUUUGACUGCUAUUAAAGUUGGCCAAGGCCAUGAACAUGGAUGGACCUGCGGUGCAUUAGCUAGUUGGUGAGGUAACGGCCCACCAAGGCGACGAUGCAUAGCCGGCCUGAGAGGGCGGACGGCCACAUUGGGACUGAGACACGGCCCAAACUCCUACGGGAGGCAGCAUG